GAUGAACGCUAGCGACAGGCUUAACACAUGCAAGUCGAGGGGCAACGGAGAGGAAAGCUUGCUUUCCUCUGCCGGCGACCGGCGCACGGGUGAGUAACACGUAUGCAACCUACCCCUGGCAGGGGGAUAACCCGGAGAAAUCCGGACUAAUACCGCGUAACACCGCGGGGAGACAUCUCCCGGCGGUCAAAGGAAGCGAUUCCGGCCAGGGAUGGGCAUGCGGCGCAUUAGGCAGUUGGCGGGGUAACGGCCCACCAAACCGACGAUGCGUAGGGGUUCUGAGAGGAAGGUCCCCCACACUGGUACUGAGACACGGACCAGACUCCUACGGGAGGCAGCAGUGGGGGAUAUUGCACAAUGGGGGAAACCCUGAUGCAGCGACGCCGCGUGGAGGAAGAAGGGUUUUCGGAUUGUAAACUCCUGUCGUUAGGGACGAUAAUGACGGUACCUAACAAGAAAGCACCGGCUAACUACGUG
rnacentral:rRNA from 1 species